rnacentral:rRNA from 1 species
GACGAACGCUGGCGGCGUGCCUAAUACAUGCAAGUAGAACGCUGAAGGAGGAGCUUGCUUCUCUGGAUGAGUUGCGAACGGGUGAGUAACGCGUAGGUAACCUGCCUGGUAGCGGGGGAUAACUAUUGGAAACGAUAGCUAAUACCGCAUAAGAGUAGAUGUCGCAUGACAUUUGCUUAAAAGGUGCAAUUGCAUCACUACCAGAUGGACCUGCGUUGUAUUAGCUAGUUGGUGAGGUAACGGCUCACCAAGGCAACGAUACAUAGCCGACCUGAGAGGGUGAUCGGCCACACUGGGACUGAGACACGGCCCAGACUCCUACGGGAGGCAGCAGUAGGGAAUCUUCGGCAAUGGACGGAAGUCUGACCGAGCAACGCCGCGUGAGUGAAGAAGGUUUUCGGAUCGUAAAGCUCUGUUGUAAGAGAAGAACGAGUGUGAGAGUGGAAAGUUCACACUGUGACGGUAGCUUAACAGAAAGGGACGGCUAACUACGUG